GCCGCGGUAGCUCGAUUGGUAGAGCGUCGCACGUGAAAUGCGAAGGUUGUGGGAUCGUUCCCCACCUGCGGCA
rnacentral:tRNA from 1 species